rnacentral:rRNA from 1 species
UACGUAGGUGGCAAGCGUUGUUCGGAAUUAUUGGGCGUAAAGGGCGCGUAGGCGGUUUGUUAAGUCAGCUGUGAAAGCCCGGGGCUCAACCCCGGAGGGUCAGCUGAUACUGGCAGGCUAGAGUACAGAAGAGGUAACUGGAAUUCCCGGUGUAGCGGUGAAAUGCGUAGAUAUCUGGAGGAACACCGGUGGCGAAGGCGGGUCUCUGGGCAGUAACUGACGCUGAGGAGCGAAAGCGUGGGGAGCGAACAGG